rnacentral:lncRNA from 1 species
GCGAGAUUAAUUGUCCUUCUUCCUAGCUUGCCUUAAGCUUCAUUGACCAAAUGCCACUCAAAUUCAACUCUCAAAUUUCGAAUUUUAUGCAAUUUCCACUCACUCCACUCAAACAUUUAACAAUCAAGCCCCUAAAAUGCGACUAGAACAUAAUCCAAACAAGAACCAAAAAUAAAUCAAUCAACUGGGUUGCCUCCCAGGUAGUGCUAGUUUAACGUCACGAACAUAACCCAAACUCUUUCUAGCACCCA